UGUAAACGAGGAAAAUACCUAAUAAUAAUAAAAAAAGAGUAAUUUAUUUUAUAUAUUUGUGCGUAUGUGUGUUUAAGUUUUCAGGUAUGUCUGUGUAUCAUGUGUGUGCUGAUGCCAUGGAGCCAGAAGAGGACGUCGGAUCCCCUGGGGCUGGAGUUAUGGGUAGUGUACUGAGAAUAGAACCUGGAGCCCCAUGUAUGCCUGACAGGUAUGCUCCUCAACUGCCUGGGCCACGCAGGAAGAGCUUCACAUCUUCAAAGGCGUUAAAAAUGUCCCUAGCCUCUGUGCAGGGCACACAAAGAACAUGCCUGGAGGAUAAAAGUGCAACGCCGUGUAAUGAACUCGGCAAGAACAAGGUCAUCGGGGACACAGCUAAGUAACGUUUCAAAUGAGGCACUCAGGGUGACUUUGGGCCCAAGGAACAUGCGCAUUGUAGGCAUGGAAAGAAUGUAGGAGCAAGAUGUAAUGGCAUUGUGAUGCUUUACCCAGUGAGUUGGAUGUCCUCACUGCCAUCUUGAAUCAAAGCAACCGAGAAGUCUCAUGACAGCAAGCCAGAAACAUCCUGGUGGCCGGGCAUGCCAGAGGAAAUGUACUCACUUCAAAGAAGGCAGGAAGCAGACAGAGUUGAGAAACUGCCAAGGGACAAACAAACAAAGAUUGCCAUAGAGAGCUUUGUCUUCAACAGACCCCACCUAUUAAAAGUCCAUUUGAACAGCUAGUAAUUUAAUCAAUGGACUAACUUAUGAGCCAAUCAUCUCUUUAAAAAACUGUAUGUAUGGUGUUAUAUGCCCUGGAACUGGAGUUACAGACAAUUGUGAGCCAUCAGGUGGAUGCUAGGAAUUGAACCUGGAUCCUCUGGAAGAGCAACAAGUACUCUUAACUGCUGAGCCAUCUCUCUAGCCUUCCAACCAACAUUUAAAAGACCCGGUAGAUACAAGCAACCCUCUAACACACAAACCUCUGGGAGAUACUUAUCUAUCCUACCCAUAAAAGUUUGCAGUAAUAAUCACACAUAACACUAGAAAUACCACACAAACACAACUUUGUGCAGACAAGAAACUCAUGCUCACGCUAAAGAAGAUGCUAGUGUGUGGGAUGAGUUACAGCUGAAAACAAAGGCUACUUUCAGCACGUUGCUGUAGUAGCACAGCAUCUGAGGUAGCUCAGCAUCGCUUCCUCCUAACCUGACAGUGUUGCUGUCACAUCCUAGGAGGUGAGAAUUUGCACAUCAAGCUGUUUCUGAGUCACCCACAUGAAGAGUUUAUAAACCUGUAUGAUACGCUCCCUUUUGGGAAAUUUUCAUAAACACAAAACACAGUGUUGAUUUUGGACUCUUCAGAUGUAGCAUGGUUCUCAGGUAUGUGGUACUGUUCAGACCCCAUCCAACACCCACACUACUUUAUUCACAGCCUCUCUCUCUCUCUCUCUCUCUCUCUCUCUCUCUCUCUCUCUCUCUCUCUCUCACACACACACACACACACACACACACACACACACACACACACACACACACACACACGCCCACUUUCUUAUUUUCCUGAGAGAAGGUCUCAUGCAUCCCGUGCCGGUCUUGAACAUGUUAUAUAGCCAAGGAUGACCUUGGAAUUCUGAUCGUCCUGCCUCCAUUUUCCAGUUCUGGGAUUACAGGGAUUCACAACUAGACCUGGUUUUAUACAACACUGAGGUUCAAACUCAGGGACCCAGGCAUGCUAGGCAAGUGCUUUAGGACCUGAGCCACAGCCCAGCUCUGUUGUGAGCCCUUCUCUAGUCCCUCUUUCACCUUCACUUACAGGUGAUGUGCUUGGGCAAGGAAAAAGAGGAAGAGAGAGAGGAGAGUGUGCAAGGGACAGCCAAGGGCGGGGGUGUAGGCCCUGCAGCUCUCUCAUAUACUGCCAGGGCCCCACAGAUGUACGCCACCAUACAAACCCUCAGUUGAAACUAUGUUACAGUAAAGCUUCAUCCUAAAGCAACACACAACUUCCCUUUAGACUCUUUAUUUAAAAUCAUGCCUGCCAUUUGUAUGGGAGUUAAGACCAAACUGCCACACAAUAUCCCUCCAUCUCUUAUGCUGGAAGCAUUUUGUGCCUGAGGCCUAGUCCCAAAGAUAGCAAAUCCUAAAUGAUAAAUGGUAAACCAAGAUUUAAACCUUUUUUGUUUGUUUUUUGUUUGUUUGUUUUUUGGUUUUUCGAGACAGGGUUUCUCUGUAUAGCCCUGGAUGUCCUGGAACUCACUUUGUAGACCAGGCUGGCCUCGAACUCAGAAAUCUGCCUGCCUCUGGCUCAUGAAGCACAAGGUGCUAAAGAGGAGGUGAAGCAACUGGAUGUUUUGAGGGGAGUUAGCAGAUUCCAUCCUGAAGAGAAGCUCAUUAAACUCAGGAAAGAAACAAUUCAGUGGCUUCAGGAAUUUCCCAGAACUGAGUAGAUUCACUAGGCUCCUCCUCCUCUGAAACACAUAACGUGCCAAGCUGCUGAGAGACACUCAGACAAGCGAGGCUGACUGGAAGAAGCAGAGACCAGCUGAGCUACCUGGAGAGGACACCAUCUGACCUGUUCAGCUGCCUGCAGGCUGUGCAGUGUGCUCUGGGUUCCCAGCUCUGUGAGCUGUCACCCAUGCCGGGGUGGGCCUUGGUGAGGCAGGUGUCUUUGAGUCAUUUCUGCUCCUGUAAGGAACCCCUCCUCCCAUACUUCUGUCAGUAACUUGAAAAAACCUGAUUAGCUCAUCAAGUUAGAUUUUGGUGGUACCCUUAUUCCAGUGUAUCAUAGAUUUCCUAUCCAAGGCUAGGUUUGGUGGACAUGCCUUUAACCCCAACAUUUGGGAUGUCUUACUCAGUAGGGUGUAUGAUAUCUGUAUUAACUGAGCAAGAUGGAGGUUAGAGACACAGGCAGAGUGUGCAGGAUACAAGAAGUGCUGGCUUCAGUCCACAGCACUGGACUGCACAUACCGGCAAUUCCAGCACUUGGGAGAUUGAGACAGAAGGGUCCAAAGUGGAAGAUCACCCUCUGAUACAUAAUGACUUCAAGGCAGCCUGGCCUACAUGAGACCCUGACUCAAGAGAAAAAGACAAAACAAAUGAACAAGCAAACCAACCAACCAACCAACCAACCAACCAACCAACCAACCAACCAAAACCCCAAGUACCUUAGCUAGUAAGCAGUAAGCUCAAGUUUUUUCUCCUAGUGCCAGCAGCUGAAUUCAGAGCCUCAUCGACUUUAGGCAAGCCUUGAGGGUCCAACUACAUCCCAGCCUAGAAAUAUUCCACUGUAGGAAUGUGGAGGCUUUCCUGUUGCCGGGAAAAUGGUAUUUUCUUUCUUGCUUCAGUCUUUCACCCUAUGCCUCUGCUUCCCAUUGACCUGACUGGACACUUCCUUUAACAUAAGCUACCUAAGGGAUAGCUUUAUUCCUUGCUAUCCUUUGGACUUUCCCCACAGUUGAAACAGACCCAGGCAUAUGUAAACACUGUAAGGAUAGAGAGAGACUGCUUCCUUCCAUGUUACCCAGUCCAGGGCGUGCUGUAUGCAUACGUAUAAAAAUAUUUUAUUUCUCGAUGUUUUCAGUACAAACAUCAAAAAGAGAAUUCCAUCAAAGAAGUUUCUAAACUUAUUAUUAGGUUGGUUGCAGGGCAAGUGAGGGAGUGGGGCUAUAACGGGAGAUAUCGGUGAGAAAAGGAAGAAUGUUAACUCACUCCAACAAACUCUUUACUCCCUGGAACCACCGGUCUGAUACUGUACAUUCAUAUUAUUUUCAGAGUUUCCUGUUUUUAUUGGCAUGUGACAUUUAUUAAAAACCUAUGAUCUCCCACAGCACUCAGUGCAGUUAACUGUUCCCACAGCUAGAGAGAGAGAGAGAGAGAGAGAGAGAGAGAGAGAUAGAGAGAGAGAGAGAGAGAGAGAGAC